AUGCCAAAUGCAGUUGCUGGGUUGAUUAAUGUUUUUGCAGACGACACAAGAGUUUAUUCAUCUGUAAUUAAUGAGCAACAACACCAGGAUUUGCAAGACGAUUUAGAUUUAUUAUGUGAUUGGUCCAGAAAUUGGAAAUUAUCAUUUAAUGCGAGUAAAUGUAAAGUAAUGCAUUUUGGUCAAAAUAAUAACUUGUCUAGAUAUACAAUGGUAGAUAAUGAGGAUGAUUAUGUCCAGGUUAAUCCUGUAACUGAAGAAAAGGACUUAGGAGUAACUUUUGAGCCUAACCUCAAGUUUGACAAACAUAUUACUAACUGUGUGAAUAAAGCCCAGAGAGGCUUGGCAUUAAUCCGUAUUUCCUUUGACUAUUUGAAAAAAAAAAUGUUUAUUAUUCUAUAUAAAUCAAUCAUACGUCCCUUGUUGGAAUACUCCACUACAGUGUGGUCACCAUAUUUAAAGAAAUAUAUCAGGAAAAUCAAAAAGAUCCCACGACGAGCUACCAAACUAGUACCUAAUAUAAACACGUUGAGUUAUGUAGAAAGAUUGAGAGCCUUGGGCCUUCCAACGCUUGAAUACAGAAGAGAUCGUUAUGAUAUGUUACACGUAUAUAAAGCUUUACGUGGGAUAGAUGAUAUUAAAUUGCAAAAUAUGUUUGAGUUAUCUACAAAUUCUACUAGAGGACAUCAUUGGAAAUUAAUUAAAAAGAGGUGUAAUUCAACUCAACGUCUUCAUUCGUUUCCACAAAGGAUCAUUGAUUAA
rnacentral:sRNA from 1 species